CCAUGUUGGUCAGGCUAGUUUCAAACUCCUGACCUCAGGUGAUCUAUCCGCCUUGGCCUUCCAAAGUGCUGAAAUUAUAGGUGUGAGCCAUUGCACUCGGCUGGGCCCAGAAUCUUAAAAAUGGCUCUGCCAGAGAAUUGUAGUUAUUACAGGAAAAUUCUUCUGUAGUCUGAUGCUUUGUUCAGCUUUGUUCAAUUCAGUAUGGCUCAUUAUACUUACUUUUCCCUUCUUGGCCAAGUUCUCCCCUUAUGGAUAUGGAGAUGACAUGCUCUAAAUGCUUUGAGAACAAGCACUUGUUAAAGAAGACUUUUGAUGUUUCCUUACCUUGUUAGUAGUUUAAACACUGUCAGAUCCUUAGAAAAUGACUGGCUUAGGACCAUAUCCUAUAGACUUAAGAGGGUUCUCAUUGACUGUUUGUUCAGUGUCCAUACUGAAUCAGUCACUUACCAAAUAUAGUUGGCACUCUGUAUUCACAGGUUCCACACCCACAGAUUCAACCAAACACUGAUUGAACAUAUUCAGGAAAAAAUACAUUAACAUUGAGCCCAAAUUGAGACUGCAGUGAGCUAUGAUCACUCUGCCGCAGUCUAGCCUGAGUGACAGAGACCCCAUCUCAAAAAACAAAUUAACAACUGUUUAUAUAGCCUUUAUUAGGUAUUAGGUAUUAUAAGUAAUCUAGAGAUGGUUUAAAGUAUUUUGGAGGAUGUGUGUAGGUUGUGUGCAAAUACUAUGUGAUUUUAUAUAAGGGACUUGAGCAUCCUAGGAUUUUUGUGUCCUUGUGGGUCCUGGCACCAAUUCCCUGUGUACACCAAGGGACAACUGUACUAAUCAAGUGUCAGAAACUGCUACAUGCCCAUUUUGGAGAGAAGGAUAAAGCUUCUAAUCUGUGUGCUUAUGGUGGAUCCUAUUCUGACAGUCUGUCCAAUUUUGAGAACACUCAU